GAGUUUGAACCUGGCUCAGGAUGAACGCUGGCGGCGUGCCUAACACAUGCAAGUCGAACGGGUGUACGGGGAGGAAGGCUUCGGCCAGAAAACCUGUGCAUGAGUGGCGGACGGGUGAGUAACGCGUGGGCAACCUGGCCUGUACAGGGGGAUAACACUUAGAAAUAGGUGCUAAUACCGCAUAACGGGGGAAGCCGCAUGGCUUUUCCCUGAAAACUCCGGUGGUACAGGAUGGGCCCGCGUCUGAUUAGCCAGUUGGCAGGGUAACGGCCUACCAAAGCGACGAUCAGUAGCCGGCCUGAGAGGGCGGACGGCCACACUGGGACUGAGACACGGCCCAGACUCCUACGGGAGGCAGCAGUGGGGGAUAUUGCACAAUGGGGGGAACCCUGAUGCAGCGACGCCGCGUGGGUGAAGAAGCGCCUCGGCGCGUAAAGCCCUGUCAGCAGGGAAGAAAAUGACGGUACCUGAAGAAGAAGCCCCGGCUAACUACGUGCCAGCAGCCGCGGUAAUACGUAGGGGGCAAGCGUUAUCCGGAUUUACUGGGUGUAAAGGGGGCGCAGACGGCGAUGCAAGCCAGGAGUGAAAGCCCGGGGCCCAACCCCGGGACUGCUCUUGGAACUGCGUGGCUGGAGUGCAGGAGGGGCAGGCGGAAUUCCUGGUGUAGCGGUGAAAUGCGUAGAUAUCAGGAGGAACACCGGUGGCGAAGGCGGCCUGCUGGACUGCAACUGACGUUG
rnacentral:rRNA from 1 species